rnacentral:rRNA from 1 species
AGAGUUUGAUCAUGGCUCAGAUUGAACGCUGGCGGCAUGCUUUACACAUGCAAGUCGAACGGUAACAGGCCGCAAGGUGCUGACGAGUGGCGAACGGGUGAGUAAUGCAUCGGAACGUGCCCAGUCGUGGGGGAUAACGCAGCGAAAGCUGCGCUAAUACCGCAUACGAUCUAUGGAUGAAAGCGGGGGACCGUAAGGCCUCGCGCGAUUGGAGCGGCCGAUGUCAGAUUAGGUAGUUGGUGGGGUAAAGGCUCACCAAGCCAACGAUCUGUAGCUGGUCUGAGAGGACGACCAGCCACACUGGAACUGAGACACGGUCCAGACUCCUACGGGAGGCAGCAGUGGGGAAUUUUGGACAAUGGGCGCAAGCCUGAUCCAGCAAUGCCGCGUGCAGGAAGAAGGCCUUCGGGUUGUAAACUGCUUUUGUACGGAACGAAACGGUCUGAGUUAAUACCUCGGGCUAAUGACGGUACCGUAAGAAUAAGCACCGGCUAACUACGUGCCAGCAGCCGCGGUAAUACGUAGGGUGCAAGCGUUAAUCGGAAUUACUGGGCGUAAAGCGUGCGCAGGCGGUGAUGUAAGACAGUCGUGAAAUCCCCGGGCUCAACCUGGGAAUUGCGAUUGUGACUGCAUCGCUGGAGUGCGGCAGAGGGGGAUGGAAUUCCGCGUGUAGCAGUGAAAUGCGUAGAUAUGCGGAGGAACACCGAUGGCGAAGGCAAUCCCCUGGGCCUGCACUGACGCUCAUGCACGAAAGCGUGGGGAGCAAACAGGAUUAGAUACCCUGGUAGUCCACGCCCUAAACGAUGUCAACUGGUCGUUGGGUCUCUUCUGACUCAGUAACGAAGCUAACGCGUGAAGUUGACCGCCUGGGG